AGUUCUGUCCCUGAUCAAGCCAUUUGAAAUCAUUGAACUAUUGAAUUACUGUUUUUCCCCUCCCAGUUCUGGAAAAAAAAACGUGGCUCUGGACAUCCUAAUGGGAUUGUAUAUAUGAAUAAUUAGGACAAAUGUCUGGAUUUUCAUCUUCGGUUUUACACCCACACCUUUUGAGCACAGUAAGGAAAGUGUUACUUAUUUGACUACGUAUUAGCAGUGUGAGAACAGAAAAGCUCAUAUUUGGAAAUGGGACCACUCUCACAGUUGAACCAAAGAAACGAGAAGAUUCUGUCCCAGAAGUCAUUGCGAUUAAAUCAACAAAGUCCAAGAAAGGAAACAAUAAUGUGAAUGCAGUAUGUUUGGCCAGGAAUUUCUAUCCGAAGAACAUCAAUUUGGAGAAAAGGAGAUUGAAGAACCAGUAACUGUGAAUGUUUGCAACAUGACAGACACCUCUACAGAAGAUAUCAAAACAGGGAAAGUGAACAUGCUGUCCAUGGCUGUGCUGGGUUUGAGAGUCCUGCUGGCAAAAAGCAUCGCCUUCAAUACACUCAUGAGUAUCAAGUUGUUUCUAUUCUGAGGUGGCAGAGAAUAUUGCUAUCAGCAGUCUAAGGAACAAAAGGACAAAGUGUGUACCCACAGCAGUUUCAACAGCACAAGUCAAAUCUACUGACAAUAAGUAUUGAGAGCGUAACACUGCACCUUCCCCUUAGCCCCUGUAGAUUUAUUAGUCCUUUCACUUUGUCAUGCAGCUUUUCAGCUAACUAUCACUAUCUGGAGGUUUUCUUAGUCAUAUUAUACUGUUGAAUCCUGUCUAGCUAGUUUCUCUCAUUGUAGAAAUAAUUGUAAUUGAUUUUGCUAUUUCUUAUUCCCAGUGAAACUUUUCCUUAUCCCUCAGCUAAGUAGAAAUUGAUAUCUCUACUCCUCUAAACAUUACAUAGAAGCAUCCAAAUUGCUUUGGUAGUUUUGAAAAAUCAGAAUUUCACUAUAGAUCCAUCACCCUUUUAAAAAUUUUUCUACAGGUAAAUUAUAUCACUCUCUGUAGAGAUGUUUUACAGCUUAGAGAAUUCAGAUAUCAUUUAGUUUUAAUAUUUUUAGAUAGCUUCAAUAACAAUAAUUUUCUAGUAUAGAUGAGAAGAUACAUGUUGUGAAGAUCCUUGAAGUGAUUCACUUCAGCCAAAUAAUAUUCAACCAUAGUAACACUUUGAUUUGCAUUUCUUUACCAUGUAUCUCUUUUGCUAAGUGUAUGACUCCUGCAUUUUAAGUUUACCUGAAAUAAAUUUUUACUAUGCCAAAA